AUCCACACAAAUAAUAAUAAUAAUAAAAUAAAAACCCCGACCACCCCGUCCCGCCCCGCAAACCUUCAAGCCGACAAGACUCGUUUCGACCUCCACAAAGUCCACACAAGCAUCAUCAAAAACACAGCCACUCACCUCCCCAGCUAGGCCGUCUGCCCCCCCUAAUCUCCCCGCCGCUAUCCCUAUUUGGACUCAGCGCCCGCACCAUCUUGUCGCGGAAAGAGCUGAAUGAGCUCGACGUCGGCGUCGGCGUCCCGCUCGUCGUCCGGCUGACAAGCGGCUGUAACUCGGGGGGCGUUGACCUUUUAUUUGGAGUCGAGAUCGACAUGCUGAAAGGUGGUAUCGACGUAUAGCGGUGGUUGGUGACUGGUGACUGGUAGACUAGCAGACUUGACCUGUUUUGUUUUUUACUUGCACACCCGCCGCUGCCUCGAUUUGCCAAGAAUAAUUAUUUCGAAUGUCAACGGCGUCACCGUUACACCGUCAGCUGAUUCCAAUCGCACAUUUCUUCGCUUAUUACUCCAUCCGCCUUUUCCCCUUUCAUUAAUACAUCUUUUCUGCAUUCCUCUAAAAACACACACACACAUCUAUCGACGUCUCGCCAUUAAAUGAUCAUUUUCAACAUCACCGCGCGCCUCUUUCAAUCGCCCGGCGCAAACGAUGAAUCGUCGACAAUCCACUCAACCGCUUGUUCAACCCGUCGAGUCGUAUCAGCACUCGUCGUAUCGGCACUCGUCGUAUCGACACGAAGCGCCAUCUCGAGCUAUAUCCAAGGUCCAGGAUCCUCGAUAAUAAAAGUGGCAUCUCUCUAAUAAUCCAAAGUGCGGCAAUUCCAUUCCACCCGCAAAGGUCAACCAGAUACUUGAGAGAGUUCACUGCAAUGUUGAGCAUUGCUGGGUGUUUAGAGCAGAAUAUAAUUCUUCCAGAGUUGCUUAAUGCAACCUGUCUCAGUUAUUAUAAUAUAGUCUAAAUCUAAAGCUUGGAAUAGUGGCCAAAUCUGGAAAUCCACCUUCUCCAAACCUUUGUCGAAAUCAAAUCAAGCCUCCAGGCAUGCAUCCUUCAAGAAUAACUUGGUCAUCAGGAGAAAUUCCAAUUGGAAGCCGGAAAGUGCCUCCGGGACGAGGGGAAAUAGUAGUGUUCAGUAGGCGCGAAACUUGAGACAUGUGAACACGGGCGUUCUUUGAGAAGCGGGCCCACUAAUACAGUAUCGUAAAUUGGGAAAUGGUUUUUGAUCGAGUAAAAACUUACCCAGAGUGAUCGCAUACGGCAUCCAGAACACAUCAAUCUGCUCAUCAAACACAGCCUUUACAUCCUCUGGUACACUCUCGACAACGCUCAAUCGAUCCGUCCAUCCUGUCCUUCUGCCCAUAGGCCCCUCCAUAUCGGAAUCACUCAUACCCGUCUCUGUCUCACUUCCUAUGGUGAUAUCGGCCUCGUUCUGGUUUCUCAAUACAUGACCCAUAAAACCGCGGGGUCCAUCGAGCUCAUUGAAUAUUGAGUACCAAAUUUGAUUCGAUCAGAGCCGGAUUUCAUCGCUUUGAGCUGAAGGGCUCGGCUUUUGUCCGCAUUGGUCCAGACGAUGCGGUUGACGCGUCGGCAAGGCGGCUGGGAUCUGCCGGCCCAGAAACGGUUGGUUCAAGCCAUUCUCGAGCGGCAGCAGCAAGAGUGUCGUGGCGAGGAAUUGUGAAUGUAAACCCGUGGCAAGUGGUUGGAGGUGCAAGGACAGAAUUGACGAUCUCGACUAUCACGUCAGCAAACGAAAUGAUGAGUGGAGACUCACCGUCUCGAGGGUGUGCAAACUUGAGAGUUUUCGCUACCAGUUUCUGGGCACCUCCUUGUCCAGCAUCGGCUACGUGCUUGCCCCUUAGGUCUUUGGACAGCCCACCGUUGCUGAAUGUGCUGCUUUUCGAAUUUUUACGAGAUCGGUGGUCUUCAUCUCCUUGGGUAGCAGAUCGGUUGUGUUGCUUAUCACCGCUGAAGCAGCUGCCAAGCAUAUCAGGUCGCCAAAACAGUCCAAGAGAAUCUUCGAGCGGCUGCACCCCACGAGUGGUGUCUGCCAAUGACCAUUCUGCGGUACUCUAAAAACUCAGCCGCUCGCAAUGAUCUACAAGACUUACCUUUCCCAAACCCGAUACCAGGUAAAGGCUAGCAAGCUUUGCAUUUGCAUCAAGCCCUAGCAUCUCGUCUGUCUUGUUUCUUGAACCAACGCUAGCGCUAAAGAGGUUGAAUCCCAAACCUCCGAGACCCAAUUUGCUCUCACUGCGCAAACCUCUUAAUUCGUCUUGCUCCUCGGUCUCUUCCACAAUACCUGGUGCGCGUGUACCUGUGGUGGCAACUCUCGCUUUCAUUUUUGUCGUAUUGGGCCGCUAGCGUAAGGGUGGGAUGGGGUGAUAGAAUCUUCUGACAAGAUAGAAGCUGGAUAUGUUGGAGAAGGCGGAGAGGUGAUUGAAGUGAACGAUGAAUUACGGCUCGCAACUGGGCGCGGGAGGGAAGUCUGUGAUUGCAUUGAUCCUGAUGGCAGGGAAAUGAUGUAAUCGGCAGAGAUAUCAAUCACUUGGUGGUCCAGUGAAGCAUUCAAGGCCUUCCGACCUCUCUCUUGCCUAUCAAGUGCGAGUGGAUGGUAAAGACUAGGUUGAUUAGUGUUACCCGAAUGAAGGUAGGGGGUGGGCGGAAAAGGUGAAGUCUUACGAAAAAAAAAAAGUUCGAUCAGCCAUCACUUUCUUAUACCCAGAAGAUUUUGUUUGCUGCUUUGCUGCUGGUCCGAUAUACUCAAUCGCCAGACCAGAUUCAGCUGGGGCCACCGAUGACUGAUUGUUGAUGGUUUGAUCAGGAUCUAAGCCGGCUCACACCAUCGUUUUGUCUGGGCCCUAGAUGAAUGUCAUCACUGAAUGUAUGUGUACGACACUGCAGGGUGGGAUGAAGAGAUUUUGAAAGUGGCAACUUGGUUCAUCCCAAGUCGAUGUUGAACACAGAACAUGUGGUAAGGAAAAUUCAAGGUCCGAGGUUGGAUAUUGGAGGGUGCAUCCGAGAGGAGCUCCGCGGUAACAUUGAGAGGAAGAAGAGUCAAGUUUGGGGUCCGAGCUCACUGUUAGUCUAGUCGUGGUCGAGGCGAAUAGGCGCGAAGAUCAGUGCAUUAACACCCAGCUUAAGCUCCAUCUAACAGCUUGCAUCGUCCAUCACCCGAUCAAGCGAAGACUUCCGUCCAGCAGCAUGUACCGCCCUAUCCUCCUCAUUCAUUGGGUACGGAUUGAUGUUGCCCAUAUUUUUCCAGCAAGUCACCCUUAUUUGUCGUGUUUUGAGGAAUAAAAGCGAUUAGCGACGUACAAGGCUAAAAUGUGAGCAUCCAAAUGAUACGACUGAUUAUGCCAUCCCCUCGACCUAUCCCAGAGCCGCAAACUAUCAGUUAUCAGUUACAUACUACUCGAACUCUGAGACCGUUUAUCUCCACCAACCACAGGCGCGUGACAGUGUAUAGUUCCCGUUCCCGAUCACAACCAUCCUCGGCGCUUCCGCUGUUAAUCGGCCUCCGCCGCAUGCCAGGUUCAGGACCCGGCAAUUCAAUUCUCCAAUCUUUUUAUCCUGGCCAAUGAGUACGCGUCAUGAGGCUGAUAGCUCAUAGAUAAGGACGCCCGCGACAAGAGUAGUGCGACAAGGCCUUGGCGUGUUGGCGUAUCUUUCUUGUGCAGGUUCUUCUAAUCUCUUCAUGCUCUGCGUCUGGUGUUCAAUCGUGCAUUCGUGUUUUGCAAUUUCCCUAUUCUGUCCGUUCGCCGUUUGCAUUUUGCAGUUGACUGAAGCGAAUGCAAUACGUAAUAAUGUU
rnacentral:sRNA from 1 species